GGGGGGGGGGGGGGGGGGGGGGGGGGGGGGCGGGGCGGGCGAGCGGGCGGGGAGCUUGCUGCUCUGAUGUUAGCGGCGGGCGGGUGAGUAACACGUGGAUACCCUACCUAUAAGACUGGGAUAACUGCGGGAAACCGGAGCUAAUACCGGAUAAUAGUUUGAACCGCAUGGUUCAAAAGUGAAAGACGGUCUUGCUGUCACUUAUAGAUGGAUCCGCGCUGCAUUAGCUAGUUGGUAAGGUAACGGCUUACCAAGGCAACGAUGCAUAGCCGACCUGAGAGGGUGAUAGGCCACACUGGAACUGAGACACGGUCCAGACUCCUACGGGAGGCAGCAGUAGGGAAUCUUCCGCAAUGGGCGAAAGACUGACGGAGCAACGCCGCGUGAGUGAUGAAGGUCUUCGGAUCGUAAAACUCUGUUAUUAGGGAAGAACAUAUGUGUAAGUAACUGUGCACAUCUUGACGGUACCUAAUCAGAAAGCCACGGCUAACUACGUG
rnacentral:rRNA from 1 species